AACCUUUGCUCUCCAUAAACCAUUCCAAUCUAUUUUUAACCAGAUGUUCAGUAAUUUUAAUUAAGACCGAUGACAGAGCAAUAGGACGAUAAGAUGAAGCAAGGGUAGGAUCCUUAUUAGGUUUCAGAAUAGGAAACACUUCUUGAACUCUCCAUGCAGGGGGUAUAUUACCGGAUAGCAUAAAACUAUUAAUUAGGUUAAGUAAAUAACCUAAAGCAUCAUCACCUAGAUUAGCUACAAAUGAAUAUGGUAUUCCAUCAACGCCAGGAGCUGAAUCCUUCACAUUUGAUAAGACGCCUUUCAUUUCAUGGAGAGAAAAGGGGCUAUUUAGUCCAGUACGAUCAUCGACAGCUGGUGAAAUCAUUAUAAACUCUGAAACAUAAGGAGGAGCUAGGGUAUCAAUAAAUUUAUGGGUCAAAUUCUGAGGAAGAGCAGAAGGAGAGGAUUCCUUGAAAGCACCCCUGAAUCUUCUUAUAUUCGCCCAAACUUCAGAUGGGCUAACAUCUGGGCAAAUUGAUAGGCAAAAAGAUCUCCAUCCAUCAAUUUUUUUUUGUUUAAACAUUUUUUUACAAGCUUCGAUAUUUUCAGUUACUUUAUUAAAGUUUUCAUCUGUUGAACAUUCAAAAUAUAACUUUUCAGCUUCUUUACGUUUUCUAGCAGCCUCUGUACAUUCACUGUCCCACCAAGGUGGAGAAGGUAUUCCACAGCCUACUUUUUUCAUCGGAAAAAGUUCAUUAGCUAUCUCUAUAAACGCUCCGGCAAAUGUCUCUGCACAAAAGGUUUCAUUUCCAGGUGUUACAGGAGGGAAAUAACAAAUUUUACUUUCCAUUCGAGAUUUAAAAGUAUUCCAGUCGGCAUUCAAUAAUCUAUAUUUCAAACGAAUCCGUUUUCGAACAGUUUCGUGUUGAAAAGGCAGAGUGAUAAUAAGACUAUAAUGAUCACUUCCAAAAGUGUAUUUAAGGGCUUCAAAUUGAUAAGCUGCAAAUUGAUAAGUCUGGAGCACUCUUUCCCUGUGAAGGAGAGGUGCGACGGGUAGGUGAACCAGUAUUAAGGAUACAAAGGAAUUACGCUCCUGCAGUUCCACUGGAGAACUUUGGAAUUUAGGUCCAUUAUGGAGUGUUUUAGAGAUUUGUGCAAGAGAAUCCAUGAGAGCUGCGUUGGACGGUGGAAUUAAGUUUGACUGCGAAAGAAUCGACCUAAAGACACAGGAUGCAAAGAAACCCCAUCAUCAGGCGAUGUCAGCUUAUGCUGGAUGUGUAAUGUGUAAGGAGCUGCAUCAGAACUAAUAUAAGUCCUCCGAGCAAUUUGAGACUGUGGAGAGUGGUUGUCAGCGACAGUUGAAAUAUUUUGUGACGCAACAGUUUCAUUAAAUAAAGGCAAAGAGAUA